UCAACUUUGAUUGACGUGUGACACACCCAAGUCUACCGAUGACGUCGUGACAUGUAAUGCGUUUGACAGCAAAAACUCAAGGUUAACUCGUCCUUCGCUGAAAAAUGUGACAUUACCAAAGUAUACAUGUGCAAAGCUUUUGCCGUCGUAUAAUUUUCCCAUAAAAUGGGAACAUUUAAGUGUAGAGAGGUGGAAUUAUACGUCAACGAAUGGCCCUGCUAAUAGUGAUAUCACUCCCCGGAACAAAAGGAGGCUGAGCGAGAACAGAGGAGUGGAGAUUGAAAUGGUGCUCAGCUCGAGGAUCUGCGGACUUCCCAGUCCAUGUUUCCACUGACAUGAGAGCUGAACAAUGACAUAACUGACUCUUACAACUUCCAUACUCAUGAGGUCUACGGGAUUUGGACGGUAUGAUUUGGGACCCUGUCGGUGGGAAACAAACAAACACUCAACUGUUCAUCUUGCCCAAAAUCUCUGAGCGUUACUUCAUAUUAUACUGGAAAUCUCACAGCAGUUGAUGGGAACAGUACAGACUCUGACAGCGGACGAGGAGAGAACUAGCUUCACGCUUAUGAGCAGUAAUGCUGAGCUACACAUGCGGUGAAUGCUCUCAUCUACCUGCUCAAGAAUAACAAUCAGAAACAGCCUUCAGAUGAGCGCCCGAUCCUACCGACUGGCCCUCAGCUGCCCGGAUGCUCGAUUCAUAUAAGUGAACCCCAUCAAUAAGAAAUGCUUGGAUAAAUUUACAAAUAGUAGUAAACUGCCAUUAAAGUACCUUGUACCCAGCUUAUUGGUUGACAGGAGUGUUUUUUAAUAUAAAAAAGUAAUAAGUUGACAGACACUAAAACACAAUCAUAGAGCAUUGCCAAGGUUAACAAAAAGGACAUCGGGAAUCCCGGUUCGAAUUUACAAGGUAAGUGGCAUACAAUCUUU